rnacentral:rRNA from 1 species
AGCAGCCGCGGUAAUUCCAGCUCCAAUAGCGUAUAUUAAAGUUGUUGCAGUUAAAAAGCUCGUAGUUGAAUUUCGGGGUUAGUAGGUUGGUCAUGCCUCUGGUAUGUACUGGUCUCACUGAUUCCUCCUUCCUGAUGAACCUUAAUGCCAUUAAUUUGGUGUUUUGGGGAAUUUGGACUGUUACUUUGAAAAAAUUAGAGUGUUUAAAGCAAGCUAACGCUUGAAUACAUUAGCAUGGAAUAAUGAAAUAGGACGUUCGAUCCUAUUUUGUUGGUUUCUAGGAUUGACGUAAUGAUUAAUAGGGAUAGUUGGGGGCAUUAGUAUUCAAUUGUCAGAGGUGAAAUUCUUGGAUUUAUUGAAGACUAACUACUGCGAAAGCAUUUGCCAAGGAUGUUUUCAUUAAUCAAGAACGAAAGUUAGGGGAUCGAAGACGAUCAGAUCCCGUCGUAGUCUUAACCAUAAACUAUGCCGACUAGGGAUCGGAUGAUGUUAAUUUUUUUAUGACUCA